GACGAACCGUGCGACCGUUAUUCGGAAUCACUGGGCUUAAAGCGCGUGUAGGCGGAUGGGAACGUCGGUAGUUGAAAGCCCCCGGCUCAACCGGGGAAGUGGUGCCGAAACGACCCGUCUGGAGGGACGUAGGGGGACCUGGAACUUCCGGUGGAGCGGUGAAAUGCGUUGAGAUCGGAAGGAACGCCCGUGGCGAAAGCGGCUCACUGGACCACAACUGACGCUGAGGCGCGAAAGCUAGGGGAGCAAACAGG
rnacentral:rRNA from 1 species